UGGGGAUUAGCUUAGCCUGGCCUAAAGCUCCGGCCUUUGAAGUCGAGAUCAUUGGUUCAAAUCCAAUAUCCCCUGCCA
rnacentral:tRNA from 1 species